rnacentral:lncRNA from 1 species
AAAGGAAAUAAGAAAAAAACAAGAGAAAAAAAGGGGGUGCACGUGAAUAAAAUGGGAGAGGUGCUACACGUGAUGAAUUGAAUUUGAUUUCCUUGAAAAAAUGUCCAUAAGUAAUUAAUAUUAAUGCAUCACUUUAGAAUAUUUUUGAAAUUUUGUUUUAUUUGGUAAUAAUUCGAAUCAACAUUAUGACAAUCAUUACAAAUAAUUAAAAAUAAUAUAUUGAUUGUUUUAUUCAAUUUCUUCCUAAAGAG